rnacentral:rRNA from 1 species
GUGGGGAAUCUUAGACAAUGGGGGCAACCCUGAUCCAGCCAUUCCGCGUGAGUGAAGAAGGCCUUCGGGUUGUAAAGCUCUUUCGGCAGGAACGAAACGGUGAGCUCUAACAUAGCUCGCUAAUGACGGUACCUGAAGAAGAAGCACCGGCUAACUACGUGCCAGCAGCCGCGGUAAUACGUAGGGUGCGAGCGUUAAUCGGAAUUACUGGGCGUAAAGCGUGCGCAGGCGGUUGUGUAAGACAGGUGUGAAAUCCCCGGGCUUAACCUGGGAACUGCGCUUGUGACUGCACGGCUAGAGUAUGGCAGAGGGGGGUGGAAUUCCACGUGUAGCAGUGAAAUGCGUAGAGAUGUGGAGGAACACCGAUGGCGAAGGCAGCCCCCUGGGCCAAUACUGACGCUCAUGCACGAAAGCGUGGGGAGCAAACAGGAUUAGAAACCCCGGUAGUCC